rnacentral:rRNA from 1 species
UACAGAGGGGCAAGCGUUGUUCGGAAUUACUGGGCGUAAAGGGCGCGUAGGCGGCCUGUUAAGUCGAACGUGAAAUCCCCGGGCUCAACCCGGGAACUGCGUCCGAUACUGGCAGGCUUGAAUCCGGGAGAGGGAUGCGGAAUUCCAGGUGUAGCGGUGAAAUGCGUAGAUAUCUGGAGGAACACCGGUGGCGAAGGCGGCAUCCUGGACCGGCAUUGACGCUGAGGCGCGAAAGCCAGGGAGCAAACGGG